rnacentral:rRNA from 1 species
AGUGAACGCUGGCGGCAGGCCUAACACAUGCAAGUCGAACGGCAGCACAGCAGUAGCAAUACUGUGGGUGGCGAGUGGCGGACGGGUGAGGAACGCAUCGGAAUCUGCCCAGUCGUGGGGGAUAACGGAGGGAAACUUACGCUAAUACCGCAUACGACCGAGAGGUGAAGGCGGGGGAUCGCAAGACCUCGCGCGAUUGGAUGAGCCGAUGCCGGAUUAGCUAGUUGGCGGGGUAAAAGCCCACCAAGGCGACGAUCCGUAGCUGGUCUGAGAGGAUGAUCAGCCACACUGGAACUGAGACACGGUCCAGACUCCUACGGGAGGCAGCAGUGGGGAAUAUUGGACAAUGGGCGCAAGCCUGAUCCAGCCAUGCCGCGUGGGUGAAGAAGGCCUUCGGGUUGUAAAGCCCUUUUGUCCGGAAAGAAAAGCUUCGGGUUAAUAACCCGGGGUCAUGACGGUACCGGAAGAAUAAGCACCGGCUAACUUCGUGCCAGCAGCCGCAGUAA